GAUGAACGCUGGCGGCGUGCCUAAUACAUGCAAGUCGAGCGAACAGACGAGGAGCUUGCUCCUCUGACGUUAGCGGCGGACGGGUGAGUAACACGUGGAUAACCUACCUAUAAGACUGGGAUAACUUCGUGAAACCGGAGCUAAUACCGGAUAAUAUAUUGAACCGCAUGGUUCAAUAGUGAAAGACGGUUUUGCUGUCACUUAUAGAUGGAUCCGCGCCGGAUUAGCUAGUUGGUAAGGUAACGGCUUACCAAGGCAACGAUGCGUAGCCGACCUGAGAGGGUGAUCGGCCACACUGGAACUGAGACACGGUCCAGACUCCUACGGGAGGCAGCAGUAGGGAAUCUUCCGCAAUGGGCGAAAGCCUGACGGAGCAACGCCGCGUGAGUGAUGAAGGUCUUCGGAUCGUAAAACGCUGUUAUUAGGGAAGAACAAAUGUGUAAGUAACUAUGCACGUCUUGACGGUACCUAAUCAGAAAGCCACGGCUAACUACGUG
rnacentral:rRNA from 1 species